UCCCUGGUGGCUCAGAUAGUAAAGCGUCUGCCUACAAUGCGGGAGACCCAGGUUCGAUCCCUGGGUUGGGAA
rnacentral:tRNA from 1 species